rnacentral:tRNA from 4 species
UGGGACGUGGGGUAACGGCAGCCCGCCGGACUUUGAAUCCGGAAGGUCCUGGUUCGAAUCCAGGCGUCCCAG